rnacentral:rRNA from 1 species
UACGUAGGGGGCGAGCGUUGUCCGGAGUUACUGGGCGUAAAGCGCACGCAGGCGGUCUGUGAAGUUUGGAGUGACAGUUGGUGGCUCAACCACUAAGUGCUUUGAAAACUGAUAGACUUGAGGGCUUCAGAGGGACACGGAAUUCCGGGUGGAGUGGUGAAAUGCGUAGAGAUCCGGAGGAACACCAAAGGCGAAGGCAGUGUCCUGGGGAGUACCUGACGCUCAGGUGCGAAAGCCAGGGGAGCGAACGGG